UUACAGUGAAAUGCUGAAUACAACAGGUGUAGUAGACCUUACAGUAAAAUGCUGAAUACAACAGGUGUAGUAGACCUCACAGUGAAAUGCUGAAUACAACAGGUGUAGUAGACCUCACAGUGAAAUGCUGAAUACAACAGGUGUAGACCUCACAGUGAAAUGCUGAAUACAACAGGUGUAGACCUCACAGUGAAAUGCUGAAUACAACAGGUCUAGUAGACCUUACAGUGAAAUGCUGAAUACAACAGGUGUAGUAGACCUUACAGUGAAAUGCUGAAUACAACAGGUGUAGUAGACCUUACAGUGAAAUGCUUACUUACAAGCCCUUAACCAACAAUGCAGUUUUUAAGAAAAUACGUGAAAAAGUAAGAGAUAAGAAUAACAAAUAAUUAAAGAGCAGCAGUAAAUAACAAUAACGAGACUAUAUACAGGGGGAACCGGUACAGAGUCAAUGUGGAGGCUAUAUACAGGGGAUACCGGUACAGAGUCAAUGUGGAGGCUAUAUACAGGGGGAACCGGUACAGAGUCAAUGUGGAGGCUAUAUACAGGGGGUACCGGUACAGAGUCAAUGUGGAGGCUAUAUACAGGGGGAACCGGUACAGAGUCAAUGUGGAGGCUAUAUACAGGGGGUACCGGUACAGAGUCAAUGUGGAGGCUAUAUACAGGGGGGUACCGGUACAGAGUCAAUGUGGAGGCUAUAUACAGGGGGUACCGGUACAGAGUCAAUGUGGAGGCUAUAUACAGGGGGAACCGGUACAGAGUCAAUGUGGAGGCUAUAUACAGGGUGUUAUGGUACAGAGUCAAUGUGGAGGCUAUAUACAGGGGGUACAGGUACAGAGUCAAUGUGGAGGCUAUAUACAGGGGGUACCGGUACAGAGUCAAUGUGGAGGCUAUAUACAGGGGGUACCGGUACAGAGUCAAUGUGGAGGCUAUAUACAGGGGGUACCGGUACAGAGUCUAUGUGUGGGGGCACCGUUUUCGAGGUAAUUGAGGUAUUAUGUACAUGUAGGUAGAGUUAUUAAAGUGACUAUGCAUAGAUAAUAACAGAGAGUAGCAGCAGCGUAAAAUAGGAGGGGGGGCAAUGUAAAUAGUCUGGGUAGCCAUUUGAUUAGCUGUUCAGCAGUCUUAUGGCUUGGGGGUAGAAGCUGUUCAGGAGCCUCUUGGACCUAGACUUGGCGCUCCGGUACCACUUGCCGUGCGGAAGCAGAGAGAACAGUCUACGACUAGGGUGGCUGGAGUCUGACAAUUUUUUGGGGCCUUUCUCUGACACCGCCUGGUAUAGAAGUCCUGGAUGGCAGGGAGAUUGGCCCCAGUGAUGUACUGGGCAUCUCUGUUUUGAGUAGUGUACUGUACCUUUCAGGCAAGUAUAACUAAACCCCCGUAACUAUACCAGCCAGCAUCGCUCCAUUCUAUCUGUUUUGCCAGUGUUGAUAGGAGGUCGAGGAGAGAGAGGUCUCACAGUGGGCUUCGUAUCCCAGGUGCACACUAAUCUUACACAUAUCCCGUCAUUAUAGUAGAUGCCUGGAAUUGAAGGUGUUGACACAAAAAUAGGUAGUGUUAAUGAAGUGCCUGUACGGUGGUGGGAACAGCUGGCUACAGGAGGGCCGGGCACUUAAUGGCAGGUGGUAAACACUCUUAUUUAAAUGGUGUCCAUCUUCACUCGUCACUCUUCCUCUACCAGUCUUCUGUCCUUCAUCUUUACCUGAAUAUCUACGAUAGGCCUUAGUUCUCAGAGCUAUACAGGAGAGGAUAGGAGCAUCUCUAUUGGAGGAGAGGAUAGGAGCAUCUCUAUUGGAGGAGAGGAUGGGACCGUCUCUAUUGGAGGAGAGAAUAUGAGGGUCUCUAUUGGAGGAGAGGAUGGGAGCGUCUCUAUUGGAGGAGAGGAUAGGAGCAUCUCUAUUGGAGGAGAGGAUAGGAGCAUCUCUAUUGGAGGAGAGGAUGGGAGCGUCUCUAUUGGAGGAAAGGAUAGGAGCGUCUCUAUUGGAGGAGAGGAUGGGAGCAUCUCUAUUGGAGGAGAGGAUGGGAGCGUCUCUAUUGGAGGAGAGGAUAGGAGCAUCUCUAUUGGAGGAGAGGAUAUGAGCAUCUCUAUUGGAGGAGAGGAUAUGAGCAUCUCUAUUGGAGGAGAGGAUAGGACCAUCUCUAUUGGAGGAGAGAAUAUGAGGGUCUCUAUUGGAGGAGAGGAUAUGAGCGUCUCUAUUGGAGGAGAGGGUAGAAGCAUCUCUAUUGGAGGAGAGGAUAUGAGCAUCUCCAUUGGAGGAGAGGAUAGGAGCAUCUCUAUUGGAGGAGAGGAUAGGAGCAUCUCUAUUGGAGGAGAGGAUGGGAGCGUCUCUAUUGGAGGAGAGGAUGGGAGCGUCUCUAUUGGAGGAGAGGAUAGGAGCGUCUCUAUUGGAGGAGAGGAUAGGAGUGUCUCCAUUGGAGGAGAGGAUAGGAGCAUCUCUAUUGGAGGAGAGGGUAGGAUUUAUUUUGGAGGGGGGGGUUGUGUAACAGACCAGCAGCUGGUAUAGAGACAGUCAGUUUAUCUGAUGUUGUUCAGACCAGCAGCUGGUAUAGAGACAGUCAGUUUAUCUGAUGUUGUUCAGACCAGCAGCUGGUAUAGAGACAGUCAGUUUCUCUGAUGUUGUUCAGACCAGCAGCUGGUAUAGAGACAGUCAGUUUCUCUGAUGUUAUUCAGACCAGCAGCUGGUAUAGAGACAGUC
rnacentral:lncRNA from 1 species